CAGUUUCACUAAGAGCUCGAACACUCCGGUCAGUAAAUCCGUUUCGGAGGCAAAGGUAGCUGCGCCGCCGGACUCCGAAAAUUAUGGUGAAUGGAUGGUGGCUAACAGAAUCAAAGGUGGUUAUGAAUUGUGCGACUUCUCUCUCCAUGCUGGUUAUUUGGAAUGGUAGUUUGAUGGAUAAAUUCAAACCAUCUAAAGGUCUUAGAUAAGGAGAUCCUUUAUCCCUUACUUGUUUGUUCUUUGCAUAGAAAGAUUAGCACACGGCAUCAACAAGGCGGAUCAGGAGGGCAAGUGAAAGCCUUUAAAGUUAUGUACGUAGUUCUAGCCCUAACCUUUCGCACUUGUUUUUUGCAGAUGAUAUUAUUAUUUUCGCGGACGACGACUAUCAUCAAUAAUGUGGUGGAACAUCGCCAGAGCUCAGGUCAAAAAAUUAAUCAGUCCAAGAUAAGAGUUUUUUUUUUUUUUUUU